CCUACGGGUGACUGCAGUGAGGAAUAUUGGUCAAUGGGCGCGAGCCUGAACCAGCCAAGUAGCGUGAAGGAUGACUGCCCUACGGGUUGUAAACUUCUUUUAUAAAGGAAUAAAGUGAGGCACGUGUGCCUUUUUGUAUGUACUUUAUGAAUAAGGAUCGGCUACUCCGUGCAAGCAGCCGCGGUAAUACGGGGGAUCGGAGCGUUUUCCGGAUUUAUUGGGUUUAAAGGGUGCUUAGUUGGGUUGUUAAGUCAGUUGUUAAAGUUUGCGGGUCAAACGUAAAAUUGCAGUUGAUACUGGCAGUCUUGAGUACAGUUGAGGUAGGCGGAAUUCGUGGUGUAGCGGUGAAAUGCUUAGAUAUCACGAAGAACUCCGAUUGCGAAGGCAGCUUACUAACCUGCCACUGACACUGAUGCUCGAAAGUGUGGGUAUCAAACAGGAUUAGAUACCCUAGUAGUC
rnacentral:rRNA from 1 species